AGGGAAUGUUUGCUGUUUGCCUCAUAGCAGAAUUGCAUGUAGAGGGAGCCAGGGAAUACACAGCUCUGACACAGAUAGGUGUGUAAAGAAGUCUAUCCCUCCUGAGAGAAGAAUGGACUCUAUCAAGAUUCCUGUUGUCACAGAAGCAUUCCUUUGGAGACAGAUGAGUCUAUGACAUUAUCAACCGUGGACCUACUGUGACCUGUGGGCCAAAGGAAGAGGGCUGGUUCCCCUGAGGUGACUGUCAAUGAUGUAGGCCAGGUGAACGACCCCAAGGACCCCUGGAGAAGCCCAGUGGAGGACCCUCAGGGUCAGCCUCCACCCCCGCCCAGAGCCCCUUCCCUGCCUGGGCCACAUCAGCAAGACAUGUCCCCCCACACCCCUGAUCGCCUGAUGAAAGGCCCCUACCCUGACAAUCUCAGGUUACACCCCUACAGAGAAAAGGCUCAGUGGACUGAGGAUGAGGACUUCUCUUUAUCUGGGCUUCUCCAGCGGGAAGUGGAGGGCUUCGCUGGUCCUCCUAGCUGGCCACGACCUUGGGACUGUUGCCUUAAAAGGAGCAGAACACGUAGAAGCCCCUCUUCCUCUCACAUCUGACUUAAACAACAUCCACUACUGUGUCCCUCCAAGUCACCAAGCACACAUGCCUCCUCAGUGACUCCCACAGCUCAAACAGACUAUAUGGACAAGAAGAUCUAAAAGCCUCCAGCCUAAAUCUUACUUAGUGUGUCGCCCCUCCCAGACAGGUGAUGAGGGAGGUCAGUGUGGUGCCCUCCUACCCGGGGACCCCUGGCCAACCAGGUGGGGGAUGAACAGCUACACAGGAACUGAGGAAGACCAUCAGUCUAUCUGAGGAGUGCAGUAAUUAUGUAUCAAUGUCCAUCCCUCAGCAAAACCAAGAUCAUUCAUUUUUAGACAUUAAAGAUGAUUGUUCAUUAAACAGUGGACUUUCGGUGAAUCAGAAGUGAUUGAGUCACCCUAAGAAUUCAAUAUUAGGACUUAAAACCACAAAUAUGUACAGUAAAUAUUUGCCUGAGCACAAUUAGCUUCCAUGUGGUACAAUGCUUUGUUUGAUCGCAGGAAAUGUGUUCAUUACAUAUUCUGUGGACACAGCCAGUGAGUUCUUUACCUUUGUGAAGUGUCUGACAGAUCAGGGCUUUAAACCAGCUGUACGUUUUCCAUUUGAUUUCAUUCACCCACUCUUUGAAAUUUCUAUUCAAACAUACUUCCUCUCUCUGGCAGACUGACAUCUUUGAUAGCACGGUUAGAAGAAUGGACAUCAACAAGUGGAUGGACAGCUAUUUAAAGGAUAAGUCAGUGCUGAUCAUCGUGGUCAUCAGUCCCAAGUACAAGGCAGACGUGGAAAGAGAUGGAGAGGAUGAGCAUGGUCUCCACACAAAGUUCAGAUCCAGAAUGAGUUCAUCCAACAGCGCUGCCUUCAUUUAAAACUGGUACCGGUAUUGUUUCCCACCUCUACGAAGAGAUAUGUUCCUGCCUGGCUUCAGAGCACCAGGAUACACCACUGGCCCCAGGAUACCCAAGACCUACUUCUCCGUCUGCUAUUAGAGGAACGCUACAUUGGCCCCCCUCUGGGGAAAGAGCUGACCCUCUCCGUACGACACCUCUGACAUCUCUGAGAACUGCUGAAGACACAUUAUGUUGUGGUGCUUCAUAGAUUUCAAUGUUUAUAUGGAAAUUUAGUCAAUGCUUUUUUUUUUUUUUUACUAAACUGAAAUGGUGUGGGAGUAGUGGUGUAUCUCAGCACUACUCUCAAAUAGCCACAAGGUAGCAGUAUUUACUUUCUGGUGUUUCAAGUCCUAGACAUUUGCUUGCUAAGGUGAUAACGGGUUACUCCUGACAUUGUGUGGCGACUGUGGUCCUAAUAAUAUGUGAUCUGAAGAUGUAUUCUAUUAAUAAAUUAAAGUAAUAAGA